UACGUAGGAUCCAAGCGUUAUCCGGAAUCAUUGGGCGUAAAGCGUGUGUAGGCUUCCAUAUAAGUUUCUCGUUAAAGCCCGGGGCUCAACUCCGGAAUCGUGAGGAAUACUGUAUGGAUGGAGAUACGGAGAGGCGGACGGAAUUCCUAGUGUAGCAGUGAAAUGCGUAGAUAUUAGGAAGAACACCAAUGGCGAAGGCAGUCUGCUGGCCGUCAUCUGACGCUGAGACACGAAAGCGUGGGGAGCGAACGGG
rnacentral:rRNA from 1 species